UUCCACAGUUCAGAGAUAAGCGAACCCUACAGUUGCACAUUUUGAGAUCUUCCUUUUCAAUUCAAGUUCACUUCAUCCGAUUCAAGUUAAGUUCGUCCGAUUCAAGUUUAGUUCGUCCCUACUCAGUUUAAUUUCGAAUCAACUCAUAUUGAUUUGGGGUAAGUCAAAUCUUUAUUUCAGAUAAUUUUUAUAAACAUAAGCUUUGAGAUUUGGUUAAUUUUUUUCAUUUAAUUUUGUAUCAUAAGCUAAUAACUAUUGACACCCUCCUUCUUGUCCUUAUUGUAUAUCUGCCAGUACUGGCAUUAUGAGCAUGUCAACUUAACGUAUUGUGUGUUUAGUAGCAUGUCAAAAUGCUACACAGUUCACUGAAACUGGUGUAAAACUUUUUGAUGGGAGAUCAUUGACUGUCUCCCGGUUAACUAGACAGAAACUGUUAGUUACAACUUUCUAUAUCAUGUGCAGUGACUCUCUUUUCGGAUGGAAACUACAUCUUCUGCACCGGAUGUGAAGAUGAUUAUCAAUAUUCCUCCGACUAUGCCAACGACAUCUCAACAGCAAGGUACAGGAAUUCCUCAUGGAC
rnacentral:lncRNA from 1 species